AGAGCACCGUACUUGUCUUCAAGAGAAGUGGGCAACUAGUGUUUCUUUACCUCAACCUAGCAGACCACCCACCAUCGUCAUCCCCAAUUUCUCUAUCACACCACACAACCGACCAGAACCACAAGAUCUCCAAGAACCAAUCUUCCUAGCCAUGGAGACCACCUAGGGGAGCAGCGCCUGGAAGCUGGACACGCUGGAGCAGAGGAGAAACAGAGCAAGGAGGCAGCAGGGGAGGCAAGGAAGGAGAUAAGAAGAAGAGAACCAGUCCAUCUCCGAUCUGUUCAUAUGCCACUUUGAGUACAGAGAACGUUGCCCCAGGUAACGAUGACGGUUUCUAUGCCGACGUUGACUUCGACUACUAGUUCAAGGUUCCCAGGUAGCAGCUUGGGGCUGCGGAAUGGGUGACCCCUACGUCGUUUGUUCAAGGCCUCUUAGGCCAUUUGUUAAACUUGCUAUGUAUAAUAGCAUAAUUUGCUUCCGCUGUUUGAUGUAAUAAUGGGUCGUGAGAUCACUGCUUGUAAUACUUGGAUCUUUACUCUGCAAAGAGUUGUAUAAUUAUUCUCUUUGAGUCGUA